rnacentral:rRNA from 1 species
CACGUAGGCACCAAGCGUUGUCCGGAUUUAUUGGGCGUAAAGAGCUCGUAGGCGGUUCAGUAAGUCGGGUGUGAAAACUUUGGGCUUAACCCAAAGCGUGCAUCCGAUACUGCUGUGACUUGAGUACGGUAGGGGAGCGGGGAAUUCCUGUGUAGCGGUGGAAAUGCGCAGAUAUUAGGAGGAACACCGGUGGCGAAGGCGCCGCUCUGGGCCGAAACUGACGCUGAGGAAGCGGAAAGCAUGGGUAGCAAACAGG